AACCUUGAUCUUGAAGGCAUAGAGUUACAAUAUGGUGAAAUAUCCAAUCCCUGAUCAGAUUUUCUAUUAUGGUGACCAAGUUGUGGAAGCCUAAAUCCAAUUCAGAAAAAAAAAAAUCAUUUCAUUAGUCAAAGCUAAACAAGGAACAAAGUCUUAAUCUUAAUUAGUUUAAAGGUUAAAUUAAUACCUUGAAUCCACAGAAGGCCUGGCCAGUAUAGAGUAGUUUUGCUGGUAUGGAGGAUCAGACACAUUUGUCAUUCUAGGGGCUUGGCGAUGUUGUAGUUGUGUUUGAUUUAUCAAGUAGUC
rnacentral:lncRNA from 1 species